UAAGGGGCCCAUCUGAGCUUUCAUUUUCUCAAAGGCAUAGCAGGAUACCCAGGACUCGGUUUUCACCUAUCACCAUUUCUAGCCACUGGGGUACCAUAGGCAGGCUGGGGGAACUCAUAUUAAUGUUAAAAAACUCACAAAGUGGAUUUUUCCUGCCAUGGGACCUUUAAGCUCUUCUGAAUGCGAACAGAUUUACAAAAUGGAUCACAACAAGCUGAAGACGAAAAUACGGACCGCUAGCUGGAAGCACAAAAACCUUAAAGUUUCACUCCAGACCCUGUUGGGUGAGAAAACAUUAAAGAAAGUAGAGUUUUUUUAUUGACACUCCAAAAUUACGAGGAGUCCAACAAGUGUUGGAGGAGUUGCUGGCAUCCUGUGAAGACAAGCCAUGUGGUGACUUGGAUAUGGAUUUUGCCUUUGAACUGUUUGAGUAAUAUUUCAAGAGAUGAACAAUUGAAAGAGAAUGAUUCCAGGACUGCAUUCUGUAUCCAAAUUAUGAUAGAAAAAAGAGCUGCAAUCUGCUCCAUCUACUACUGUCAUGGACAAUGAGCCAAUAUUUCUUCAGUCCUGUUAUGAAACCCAAACGUCCUGGACCACAUGACAGUCAUCCAGUGCCUAACACAGACACUUCGGCUUGGCUCUGGUCCAUGGACCCCAAGGAGGACCAUCAGUGGACAGAGCCAUCGAUCCACCAUGCCACCCGGAGUUCAACAACGCCAACCACAGCAAGCAGCACACCAACAGCAACACCCACCGGCUUCACCACAGCACACACUGGGUCAUUUUCUAGUUUUUUUGCCAUUAAACAGGGUUGAAGUUAAACAGGACACAGGUGCAGACUCACCACUUAAUAAGUAUUAGCACUACUUUAAUCUGUCAGAGUUGCCAAGGGAUUUAAUCCCACGUUAAAAUGUUUUCCACCUUAAAUAACUUUUUGAAAUCUUAUGCAAUCUAAAAGGUACAGACUGGGGCCUGAAAACAUCACGAGUACACAACACCAACACAAUGGAAUACAACUGUUGGCACAGCAACAGAGCGACAGUGUCAAAAAAUACUUUCAACGGCUGAUUAUAUUUAAUGUACUAUCAAAGGGAAUAACAGGUACUUGCUAGAUUAAAAAAA